GGAGUUAGCCGGUGCUUCUUCUGUGAGUGAUGUCCUUCCUGCCGGCUAUUAACCCGCAGGCCUUCUUCCUCACUGAAAGUGCUUUACAACCCGAAGGCCUUCUUCACACACGCGGCAUGGAUGGAUCAGGGUUGCCCCCAUUGUCCAAUAUUCCCCACUGCUGCCUCCCGUAGGAGUCUGGGCCGUGUCUCAGUCCCAGUGUGGCUGAUCAUCCUCUCAGACCAGCUACGGAUCGUCGCCUUGGUGAGCCGUUACCUCACCAACCAGCUAAUCCGACAUAGGCUCAUCCGAUAGCGCGAGGCCCGAAGGUCCCCCGCUUUCCCCCGUAGGGCGUAUGCGGUAUUAGCCUGGGUUUCCCCAGGUUAUCCCCCACUACCGGGCAGAUUCCUAUGCAUUACUCACCCGUCCGCCGCUCGCCACCAGGGAGCAAGCUCCCCGUGCUGCCGCUCGACUUGCAUGUGUUAGGCCUGCCGCCAGCGUUCAAUCUGAGCCAGAAUCGAACCCUGA
rnacentral:rRNA from 1 species